rnacentral:lncRNA from 1 species
ACUCUCACCACUCAUUCAACAUCGUUCUGUAAGUUCUAGCCAGUGCAACAAGGCCAGAAAAGAAAAUAAAAGGCAUACAUGUCAGAAAGGAAGAAAUUAAACUAACCCUAUUUGAAAUUACGUGAUUGUCUACAUAUAAAGUACCAAAGAAUCCACAACAAAACCGUCUACAACUAAUAAGUGAAUUCGGCAAGGUUGCAAGACAAGAUCAAUAUACAAAAAUCAACUGUAUUUCUAUAUACUAACAAUAAACACAUGGGC